GACGAACGCUGGCGGCGUGCCUAAUACAUGCAAGUCGAACGCAGUGGGGACGGGUGAGUAACACGUGGGUAACCUCCCAUCAGAGGGGAUAACACUUGGAAACAGGUGCUAAACCGAUACUGAUGGAUGGACCCGCGGUGCAUUAGCUAGGUGGUGAGGUAACGGCUCACCAGGGUCAAGAUUCAUAGGCGACCUAGGAGUGUGAUAGGCCGCACUGGGACGGGUACACGGACCAGACUCCUACGAUAGGCAGCAGUAGGGAAUCGUCGGCAAUGGACGAAAGUCUGACCGAGCAACGGCGCGUGAGUGAAGAAGGUGUUCGGAUCGUAAAACUCUGUUGUUAGAGAAUCGGUAUCUAACCAGAAAGCCACGGCUAACUACGUGCCAGCAGCCGCGGUAAUAC
rnacentral:rRNA from 1 species